GGCCGAGUAGAUCCGGCCGGUCUUGAAAACCGUCGUGGCAGCGAUGUCACCGUGGGUUCAAAUCCCACACCCA
rnacentral:tRNA from 1 species